GACAGGCAAUAUAUUAGCAUAAAGACUCGUCUUUAGCGCUAAUUGUUAAAUAUGCUAGUCCUUUCAUGAUUAUGUGAUAGGUGGUGCAUGGCCGUUCUUAGUUCGUGGAGUGAUCUGUCUGCUUAAUUGCGUUUCACUAAGGGCCCAUAAAUUCAAGGUAUGUUAGCAAAUGCUGCUCUAUUGACCCCUAAUAGGCUUAACUGUCUUUAGCGCGUGUCUCUACGAGUUCUUUAAAGCACUGCGCAUGCUGUUGGGUCCUGAAAGCAACGAACGUGACCGCAACGUCUUGUUGCCUCUCUAUAAUACCUUCUUAUUUUUAAUAAGAGUAUUUACCUGAGGCUAUUUUAAAACUAGACGGACCGCUGUUUCUUUCUUAAACCAGAGGAAGGUUGCGGCAAUAACAGGUCUGUGAUGCCCUUAGAUGUUCCGG
rnacentral:rRNA from 1 species